AGAGUUUGAUCAUGGCUCAGGAUGAACGCUGGCGGCGUGCCUAAUCCAUGCAAGUCGAACGGAGACGAUAGCAAUAUUGUCUUAGUGGCGAACGGGUGAGUAACGCGUUGGUGACCUGCCCCGAAGCGGGGGAUAACAGACCGAAAGGUUUGCUAAUACCGCAUAAUUUGUUGAGAGUUAGAGAGCUUGACAAGAAAGCCGAAAGGCACUUUGGGAGGGGCCUGCGUCCCAUCAGCUAGUUGGUAAGGUAACGGCUUACCAAGGCGAUGACGGGUAGGGGACCUGAGAGGGUGGCCCCCCACAAUGGAACUGAAACACGGUCCAUACACCUACGGGUGGCAGCAGGAGGGAAUAUUGGUUAAUGUGCGAAAGCGCGAACCAGCAACGCCGCGUGUACGAUGAAGGCCUUCGGGUUGUAAAGUACUUUUCACCGGGAAGAGGAAGGACGGUACCGGUGGAAUAAGUCUCGGCUAACUACGUGCCAGCAGCCGCGGUAACACGUAGGAGACGAGCGUUAUCCGGAUUUACUGGGUGUAAAGCGCGUGCAGGCGGUUUGUUAAGUUGGAUGUGGAAGCUCCCGGCUAAACUGGGAGAGGUCGUUCAAAACUGGCAGACUAGAGUGUGGUAGAGGGGAGUGGAAUUCCGAGUGUAGCGGUAAAAUGCAUAGAUAUUCGGAAGAACACCAGUGGCGAAGGCGACUUCCUGGACCACAACUGACGCUCAGACGCGAAAGCCAGGGUAGCAAACGGGAUUAGAGACCCCGGUAGUCCUGGCAGUAAACGAUGUGAACUUGGCGUUGGUGGGAUAAAACCUAUCAGUGCCGAAGCAAACGCGAUAAGUUCACCACCUGGGGACUACGGCCGCAAGGUUAAAACUCAAAGGAAUUGACGG
rnacentral:rRNA from 1 species